AGUGAACGCUGGCGGUAGGCCUAACACAUGCAAGUCGAACGGCAGCACAGUAAGAGCUUGCUCUUACGGGUGGCGAGUGGCGGACGGGUGAGGAAUACAUCGGAAUCUACUAUUUCGUGGGGGAUAACGUAGGGAAACUUACGCUAAUACCGCAUACGACCUACGGGUGAAAGCAGGGGAUCUUCGGACCUUGCGCGAUUGAAUGAGCCGAUGUCGGAUUAGCUAGUUGGCGGGGUAAAGGCCCACCAAGGCGACGAUCCGUAGCUGGUCUGAGAGGAUGAUCAGCCACACUGGAACUGAGGCACGGUCCAGACUCCUACGGGAGGCAGCAGUGGGGAAUAUUGGACAAUGGGCGCAAGCCUGAUCCAGCCAUACCGCGUGGGUGAAGAAGGCCUUCGGGUUGUAAAGCCCUUUUGUUGGGAAAGAAAAGCAGCAGGUUAAUACCCCGCUGUUCUGACGGUACCCAAAGAAUAAGCACCGGCUAACUUCGUG
rnacentral:rRNA from 1 species